GGCUGAGUGCUCGAUCCUCCUCCUACGGCGCCAAAUACAAGCGGCACUUCCAUCUUUUACUGUUGUGCGUAUCUGUAACACGGAGCUGCUGCGAGGGCUGGAGCAGCUCUGCUCUGGAGCCAGGCUGAGAGAGCUGGGCUGGGGCAGCCUGGAGAAGAGAAGGCUCCUGAAGGGGAGACCUGAGAGCAGCUCCAGUGCCUGAAGGGGCUGCAGGAAAGCUGGAGAGGGGCUUGGGACAAGGGAUGGAGGGACAGGCCAAGGGGAAUGGCUUUAACCUGCCCGAGGGGAGACUGAGCUGAGCUCUUAGGCAGAAGCUCUUCCCUGGGAGGGUGCUGAGGCGCUGGCACAGGGUGCCCAGAGAAGCUGUGGCUGCCCCAUCCCUGACAGUGUUCAAGGCCACUGCUGGCUGCAGGCCCAGUUCAGCCCCUUGCUGAUGUUCCAGAUGCAGUUCUCAGCCUCACAGGCAUCCUCUGAAAGGGAAGCACAAGAAGCAGGAAAGUAAAUACGCUGUCGAGGAGUUGUUAAUGCUGCUGACAGGUUGCUUAACUCACUAGUUGGGCCAUUUAAAAGCAAGAUGCUUGCAGGUUAAGAGCAAUGCUGCGGGCUUGGGUGGCUUCAGCCCCGCAUCCUUUCCCCCUUCAUCAGGAAGGUUAGAAGACAGUUCUAGUUUAAAACCUACCUAAACAACAACAA